rfam:Anaerocolumna xylanovorans DSM 12503 genome assembly, contig: EJ36DRAFT_scaffold00010.10
CUCUUAUUCAGAGUGACGGAGAGUAAAGGCUCUAUGAAGUCACGGCAACCCCCUUUGCGGAAGGUGCCAACCUGAGCGAGUAAUCGAACAAUAAGAG